CUCCCUGCAUAACCUUUCCUUCCCCCUGCCCUCCCCAGGCUCACCUUGAGCUCUCUGCAAUGCCAGUGGCAUCGCUCCUCUGCCUUUUCCUGUGCCGUGGUGCCACACACUCUGCAGGUGAGGGAUGGUGCUAGCUCUACAGCAAACCCCAACCCCCCUUGCAUGCCCUGCAUGUGAAAUUUCGAAGGGGCUGAUCUUUUUCUGUAGGCACACCUGAGCUGCUGUCACUGCCCAGCCGUGCCCUUAUGAUGCAGAGGGGCUGCCCAGCAGAGCCACCACCGCACUUGGAGCCAGCUCCCAGCUCAGCUGGGGUCCAGCACCACUCAGCCCUCGCAGGGAAGCCUCCCUGCAGCCAGGCUGCUCUUCCAAAAGGAGAACCUGGUGCUUGAGAGUCACCAAAUCCUUUAAUCCCUGCAGCCACUUUAACCCUUGGCCUCCUGAGCCCUGCUGAAGGACCUGAAAGCUAGCCGAAAUCCCCAAGUAUCAAAAGGAUCACCAUACAUCCUCAAAUAAACCCUCUUUCUUUACCUCUCUCCCUUUGUGAGGAUUUAUGCUCGUGAGAGACACUGCUGUUCCUAAGGAAAUGGCUUGAGGUUUAAAACCCCCCUUCUUGGUUUUUAUUUCUUGUCUCUUGAGGGUUAACAAUCCUCGGGAGAGUGCAGAGCAGCCUGUCUAUCCACUUUGGUAAUUGAAAUCAAUUUCUCUGCCUUAUCUUUAGGAAACCUAUAUAGUCAAGACACUAAUCUGCUGGCUCUGGCAUCUUUUAAAUGAAAACCUAUUUGGAAAAAAAAAAAAAUCCCUUUCCCUGCCUACUAAUGCUCCUUCGCUCAGAGAGACAAACACCAGGCCAAGAGGCUUUUUGGAAGCAAGCACCCAUCACUUGUCAGCCCUUCCCUCAGCAGGGAGUAUUGGUGAACCCUCUGCCCAGAUCCCAGCAGUUCUGACUGCCCCAGGGAAGGCAGGGGCUGUCCCCUGCCUCAAUGGGUCCUGCGGGCAGGGAAGGGGAACCCACUGCCUGCUCACGGACAUAGCCAGCACGUGGGCUCCCCUAACAGCAUCCAUCCUCCUCACUGAUGUCCCCAAGGGACCCAAAGAGGAGCUGGGAGCAGGGCCCGUGGCCAGACAGCUCCUUGGCUCCUGUUGCCAUUACUGCCGGUCUCUGUUCUGACUCUUGCACACACUGUUACUGUAGAAAGGUCACAAAAACAGGAUGCCAGUUGUGCAUGCUGAUCACGUGCAGAGCUGCGGUCAGGAAUGAAGGAGCUAAAUCGCCUGCAAGCCCUGCUCUGCCGAGUGGAAGAGUGCAUCCCUUUGCAAACCUCUUCUAUCAAAUCUUUAGUUGCCUAAAAUGAAGCCUAUAGAGAAAAAAACAGACCCAAACAAUGUUCUCUCCUAAUCCUGUUGAUUAGGAGCCCAGCCAAGCCAAUAGAUUUCUAAUUUGAAGUCAAUCAGGCUUGAAAUCCCUGUAGUUUUGAUUGUAAUUACACAGAUGAAGUAAUCAAUAGGGAAUCAUAGCACCCUGAACCUAAAAAGGGGAAGUCAAAACCCACAGGCAUACUUGUGGUUCCUUGGGCUCGGUGAGCAGGGCAGCACCAUGCAAGGCUGACAGCUGGGUUUGCUCCAACAGGCUGUUACACAUGGUGCAUUUCGGGGGGCAUCUAGUGGGAAGGAGAAGCCACAGAACAGGUAAUGAGAAAGCACAGAAACUGAUGGCGAGACCUAAAGUUGGAGUCCCACAUGAGGCAGAUUCAGAAAGGACCUGAGUUAGGGUCCCGAGAUCAGAACAUGACCACUCAAGGUAUCUGUUCUUCAGCUGUGUGGAAGAAGCCUUCGGCACUGCAGCUAGAAAAGUGCAUUUACCAGAAGUUAACAAUUUGUAGUUUCUUUCAAACCAAGUGCACUUCUUGAGCAAGACAAUAUAAUUAAAAGAGGCACAUUAAUAUCAUGAGAUAAGCAUCACUGACCACAUUUAUGGCAAUAUAAAAAGGAAUUCAGAGAAAAAAGAAACUACACCCUAUAAAUCAAAGCAUUUUAGUGCAUAGAAUUCAGAAACAAAUCUAUGAAUUGUAAUAGAGCAUGACAAAAUCUCAUAAACAGUAGUAAAUAUUAAACCCCCAAUGACAAACAGAUAUGUUGCAUCCUGUCUGAGGAUUUUCUCAAUGCAUCAGAUUGAGAGCAGUUCCCCAACUCUUAUUCUCUUAAUCGAGGUAAUUUGCUUUAAGUGUUUCUUGCAGCUGAGAAAUGACAAUUGCCCCUUUAAUAUUGUGGUAAUACAAACAGCAGUUUUUCACCUGAUGAUGCUAAUCAUUGUGGGCUCUCUGAGGGCAGAAUUCUCUUUGGGUGAGAAAGCCUGAUAAGAGACUAACACACCAGGAAGUGAAAUGGAUGACUUUUGACUGGGUAAAGGUAGAGCAGGAAAAAGCCAUUUCACUGCCUUGGCAUCCCCAUCCAGUUAUUCAUUAUGCUAAAUUGCCAUUUUAUUCCUUUCAGCUUCCUGAGACAUCAAUAUAGCAUAAUGAAGUUAUCACAAGAUGCAGUUUGCUGAGCUAAUUUGGUGAUGGCAUUAGAAAGCAGUUCCAGGUAACGGCUGAGAAGAAUUUUGUUUAGAGAAGUGAACAUGGGGAUGGUUGGGGUUAUUCAAAACAGGCAGUAGUUUCUUCCACCAUCCCUGCCCUUCCAGACCAACAGGAAAGUUUUUUAAUCCUUGGAUUGUUAAAGAUUUCAAGAAGUUUCAAUACUCAAUGUCACAGCAAUGAAAAUUGGAAAGGUUAAUAUAAAAAUAGGCUGCCCCUGUCUCUGACCACUCAAUGCUAUUGAAAAGAAAAGUUUGAUUUAUUUCUCCAGUAGUACAGCACUUCAUUAAAGUUUAAGGUAAGCUUGAGAUACUUUCCUCAGCAAAUGGAAUACCCAAGGAGUAAAAAUACGAUGCUUAUCAACAAAUAACCCUGAGUACAUCAGCUUAUUUUCCUCAAACACCACUGACAAAUGAUGCAUAAGAGGGUACCAAGAAGCAAGGAGACAGUGCGUGUCAUGUCGCAAUUGCUCAACACUUGCAGCCUACGAUAAUUUGGAAAUCCAUCUAUACACAUCUCACUACGUUUCUGACAUUGGAAACUCCUUUAACUUGACUGCAACUUCCAUUUUGAAUACAGGACACUUUUUUUUAAGCUUUAUGACAAACUGCAGCCAGGAGUAUUUUAGCUGCAGAUUUCCUCCCCUGGCAGAAUCCCUCCUGCUCACCAAGCUACUGCUACACCUGGAGCCAGAGAGCCCUCAAACUAAGACAACGCAGUUGCUCGUUUCAUGCAGCUUAGGCUACCACCUCCAAAGCAACCAUUUUGCAACCACGCUAUUUUGGCAGCAACUUACCACACGUUAGGAACAAAUGUAUUCUGUCAAGCAGUUCUUUGGGUUACAACUGUUCCUCCAUUAAUCUUAAACGUAUCGAGCAAAGAACAAGCUCAUUGUUGGAAGGAAUAAUGCAGAACACUGCUCAAAACAUUAUGUGCUACAUGCAGGAAUGCCUCCCUCCCCAGCUAUUAGUCACUUUGCAUUAAUGUGCACUGCAUUAAUUGCUCACUGAAGGAGUGGCUACAAAACACAAUGGGAGUGACAUUGCAUGCUGACAGACUGACAGAAAAUAAGAAGGUACUGGAGGAAAGCAUUUCACUGCGGGUUGGGUAGAACAUGGCUUCAGGGCUGCACCAUCACAGGGUGCUUCAUGCUCCCUACUGCUGAGGAGCAGAGCAGCAAGGCACAGCAGCAGGUCUCUGGGGGAUGCCAGGCACACACUCCCCAGGAGCAGAGGGUAAUUGGGAUACUGCAGAGUCCAGGAAGGAUGAGCAGUCAAGCAAGGAGUGAAUUAGGGUGAUUAAUAUUUCCAGACUGCAGAUUCAGACCACAAGUCCUUCCAGCCAAGGACCCCUACUCCAGAAGCACGCUGUGGCAGUUGCUUUAGACAAAGAGACACCUCUCAGGGCUAUGGUGUGAGCUGCUCAUGAAGGGUCCCUUCCUGUCACAGGGCACACUCUGGCCAUUUAAAUCGGAGUCCUGUUGUCUAUGCCAAAGAGACAAGUGGGCUGAUCUGUAAAUAUCACGCAUUUUUACCCAGUCUCAAACUGCCACUCUGAAUGCAAACCUGACUUGAAAUGAAUCAGAGUACUUCACAGUGCAGGUAAAUAAAAGACAAUACUAAGGGACCUGGAUACAAAGAAAACAGUUGUUCUUCAAGCAUUUCUACCCCUUCCCCCUCAAAUUUCAAUAGGCCAUGUCUAAUUAUUGAAAGGCACAUAUUCCCCCUCACACUGGGUUAUUAUCAGACCAUACCACAUGUGUCAGUCCACAGAAUUAGCAGCUAUAAUUGGACCCUUUUAACAAGGUACACAACACAUUUUAAAUUAAAUUGCAUUCCAUAAAUCAGGUUAACCUUUUCAACAUUGCUCUAAGAAAAUUAAUUACUCAUAUCGAAGCAUAUGACCUUUUCACAGUGCUUGGGAUUAGCUUCCACAUUUCUUUUUAUUUUCUGCUCCUCCUCCCUCUUUCCCAGCCCAGCCUUCUUCAUUUAAAAGAGCCCAAAUAGGCAAGGCUAAACACAUAGCUUCAGCUCUCAUUCACAGCUCCAACCAAGCACAAUAGCUGCUAUUCUUUUCAAGUUCACUUCCCCUUAAGAGGUGUCCCUUCUUCCCCCUUCCCUCCCUUCUGGCCAGUGAAACAGGGCUGCCCAGGUGGCAACGUUCAUCAUCUGACUUUUAGCUUUGGUUUGAUGCUUGCUUGAAAAACCUGGGAGCCUUGUGACUAUGUAGGGAGCUGUUUCCAACACCAGCAAGAGGCAGUUUUUCUACUUUUCCAGCCCUUAGAAUAAUGUGAAAGUGUGAUCCAGUACCCUAAAAACUAGGAAGGAAGGGAAAGCUGCUUUACUGCGUUAAGAUUUCCCAGGACUUUCUACAAUACUUCUGCAGGGUCUGUGAAAGUAAAUGUCAGCAUCAUCAUCCUAGUACUGGCCUAGGAACACCAGGAAAAAAGGCUUCCUAUCACAGUUAGUAGUGCCGUAUUUUCUAUCAGCUUAAAAAAAUGUGCUAAGAAGCUUUUUCACAGAACCCUUACGAAUUUCUUCUUUGAAAAGGACCCUGAAAUUUGAUAAUGGGCCCAGAUCUUUCCUUUCUACUUUUCAAACAGAAAUGUAAUAAGGAAUGGUGUUUGGAGGGGAUAAAACCAGCAACAAAGCAAACAGAACAACCUUAAACAAAACCAGGUGGGAAAUACCCAAACAGAUAUAAUCUCAUUCUUUCCCCCACCUGAUCCUACUUGUAGCUUCUAUGUAAUUUGGAUUUUAUGAGUAUUCUUUUAUCUUCCAGGGCAAGUUCAAAAAAUGGACUAGCAAUAUCAAAAAGUAACAAGUCUCAAUUCUGAGAGAAUUAGAACAGAAAUGUUUUUCCUACUCUUUGGUAGGGAAGCAGAAGAAGCUUGGAUGAGCUUUGUGUCUGAAGCAAGAGCCUUUUCUAUCCUUGAUUAUAUCCCAAGAAGUCACAUCUGUACACAGGGCACCCCCAGUAACCCAUCUGUACCUCAUCUCCUUGGUCACAGCCAUCCCCAGCAGCACAGUAGGGCUGUGCCAGCUCCAGGACCUUCAUCAGCACUGGAAACUUCCUCGACGCCGUCCCUCUGGAAGCCCGCCUUUUCGGCCCGCCGCUAUCUGGCGCUGACAGAAAGGGGCAAAGCGCUCCCUGCAGGCCUUGAAAUGGCGGUGGCCGCCUGGCCCGCCCAGCACCGAGGUGAUAAAUAGGGCCCCCCCACCACUCCACAGCCGUUGCUGCCGUCUGUAGGGGCGAGGGGAGUGUCUGAGUAUUAUAUUUUUAAGGAAAUGUGGCGCCAAAAGCAGCGUUUUGAGGCUUUUCCCUCAGGGUGGAGCUAUCUUGGAGGUGCUCAGGCGAUGGAGGGCGCAGGGCUGCAGCAGGCAGGCUGCCCUGGGGCCUGCACUGUUCUCUGCCCCCAGUCAGAAUCUCCUUCCCCAGCCAGGCCUUCAGCCUCCAGGGUGCUGUCCUUCUGUUUGGCCUACCCUGUGCUCCAGCCUGAUCCUGGCUGCUGCCCGCCUCCUGUGGUCCCUUGCUGAUGGUGGCAGGCUCCUCUCCU